UACGUAGGGCGCAAGCGUUAUCCGGAAUUAUUGGGCGUAAAGAGCUCGUAGGCGGUUUGUCGCGUCUGCCGUGAAAGUCCGGGGCUCAACUCCGGAUCUGCGGUGGGUACGGGCAGACUAGAGUGAUGUAGGGGAGACUGGAAUUCCUGGUGUAGCGGUGAAAUGCGCAGAUAUCAGGAGGAACACCGAUGGCGAAGGCAGCUCUCUGGGACGUUACUGACGCUGAGACGCGAAAGCGUGGGGAGCAAACGGG
rnacentral:rRNA from 1 species